CCUACGGGAGGCAGCAGUGAGGAAUAUUGGUCAAUGGGCGAGAGCCUGAACCAGCCAAGUAGCGUGAAGGAUGACAGCCCUACGGGUUGUAAACUUCUUUUAUAAAGGAGUAAAGUGAGGCACGUGUGCCUUUUUGUAUGGACUCUACGAAUAAGGAUCGGCCAACUCCGUGCAAGCAGCCGCGGUAAUACGGAGGAUCCGAGCGUUAUCCGGAUUGAUUGGGUUUAAAGCGAGCGUAGAUGGGUUGUUAAGUCAGUUGUGAACGUGUGCGGCUCAACCGUAAAAUUGCAAUUGAUACUGGCAGACUUGAGUACAGGUGGGGUAGGCGGAAUUCGUGGUGUAGCAGUGAAAUGCUUAGAUAUCGCGAAGAACUCCGGUGGCGAAGGCAGCUUACUAAACUGCAACUGACAUUGAUGCUCGAAAGUGUGGGUAUCAAACGGGAUUAGAUACCCGUGUAGUC
rnacentral:rRNA from 1 species